rnacentral:rRNA from 1 species
CUAAUGGAGAGUUUGAUCGUGGCUCAGAACGAACGCUGGCGGCAUGCCUAACACAUGCAAGUCGAACGGGACCUUCGGGUCUAGUGGCGCACGGGUGCGUAACGCGUGGGAAUCUGCCCUCAGGUACGGAAUAACUCAGGGAAACUUGAGCUAAUACCGUAUAAUGACUUCGGUCCAAAGAUUUAUCGCCUGAGGAUGAGCCCGCGUAGGAUUAGCUUGUUGGUGAGGUAAAAGCUCACCAAGGCGACGAUCCUUAGCUGGUCUGAGAGGAUGAUCAGCCACACUGGGACUGAGACACGGCCCAGACUCCUACGGGAGGCAGCAGUGGGAAUAUUGGACAAUGGGCGAAAGCCUGAUCCAGCAAUGCCGCGUGAGUGAUGAAGGCCUUAGGGUUGUAAGCUCUUUUGUUGCGGGAAGAUAAUGACGGUACCGCAAGAAU